UACAGAGGGUGCAAGCGUUAAUCGGAAUUACUGGGCGUAAAGCGUGCGCAGGCGGUUGUGCAAGACAGAUGUGAAAUCCCCGGGCUCAACCUGGGAAUUGCAUUUGUGACUGCACGGCUAGAGUGUGUCAGAGGGGGGUAGAAUUCCACAUGUAGCAGUGAAAUGCGUAGAGAUGUGGAGGAAUACCGAUGGCGAAGGCAGCCCCCUGGGAUAACACUGACGCUCAUGCACGAAAGCGUGGGGAGCAAACAGG
rnacentral:rRNA from 1 species